AUGAACGCUGGCGGCGUGCCUAAUACCUGCAAGUCGAGCGAACAGAUGAGGAGCUUGCUCCUCUGACGUUAGCGGCGGACGGGUGAGUAACACGUGGAUAACCUACCUAUAAGACUGGGAUAACUUCGGGAAACCGGAGCUAAUACCGGAUAAUAUAUUGAACCGCUUGGUUCAAUAGUGAAAUACGGUUUUGCUGUCACUUAUAGAUGGAUCCGCGCCGCAUUAGCUAGUUGGUAAGGUAACGGCUUACCAAGGCAACGAUGCGUAGCCGACCUGAGAGGGUGAUCGGCCACACUGGAACUGAGACACGGUCCAGACUCCUACGGGAGGCAGCAGUAGGGAAUCUUCCGCAAUGGGCGAAAGCCUGACGGAGCAACGCCGCGUGAGUGAUGAAGGUCUUCGGAUCGUAAAACUCUGUUAUUAGGGAAGAACAAAUGUGUAAGUAACUAUGCACGUCUUGACGGUACCUAAUCAGAAAGCCACGGCUAACUACGUG
rnacentral:rRNA from 1 species